rnacentral:rRNA from 1 species
UACGGGGGGGGCAAGUGUUGUUCGGAAUUACUGGGCGUAAAGGGCUCGUAGGCGGCCAACUAAGUCAGACGUGAAAUCCCUCAGCUUAACUGGGGAACUGCGUCUGAUACUGGAUGGCUUGGAUCCGGGAGAGGGAUGCGGAAUUCCAGGUGUAGCGGUGAAAUGCGUAGAUAUCUGGAGGAACACCGGUGGCGAAGGCGACAUCCUGGACCGGUAUUGACGCUGAGGCGCGAAAGCCAGGGGAGCAAACGGG